CUUAAUUAUCAGUAUUUAAUAUUAAGAGCUUGCCCUUAAACAUUUAAUUCAUCCGUCGCAUUGAGUUGAGUUGAUGACACCGAGUAGAAAUGCAUCCUCACUCUGAGUGCACAUGGAGAAAAAUCAAAAUAACAAAUUGCAGACAAAAAAACUGUUAACCUGUCUGGCGAAACUCACCACACCAUCGUUAUGGGAGCAAUAUUACAAUAUGUAUGCAUGUCUGAAGCAAAAAUCUAAAAAGCAAUUAUUAAGACGUAUUUUAUGCUGGUUCACCUAUAGUGUUUGAAUAUUGGUUCAAACAUACAUAAGUGUACGCGUUGCGCAGUUUGCAUUGAUGACGCAGCAACAAAAACACAAUGGCAAAGCCAAUAGCAUGACAAUAACAGCGACUGCUCUCAAUCCCUCUCUCUCAAUGGCUCUCUCACUCUCUCGCACAGUUUACGUGUGACUACAAUAUGGCGUCGUUGAAAUUGUGUCGUCGCCUCAUUUAAACAGCAACAAUCCGAAUGUAAAUAAAUGUUAGUUUGCUAAGUGCACAGUA